rnacentral:ncRNA from 2 species
UACGAAGGGGGCUAGCGUUGUUCGGAUUUACUGGGCGUAAAGCGCGUGUAGGCGGGCCGUUAAGUUGGGGGUGAAAUCCCGGAGCUCAACUCCGGAACUGCCUCCAAAACUGGCGGCCUGGAGCAGAUGAGAGGCGAGUGGAAUUCCGAGUGUAGAGGUGAAAUUCGUAGAUAUUCGGAGGAACACCAGUGGCGAAGGCGACUCGCUGGCAUCUUGCUGACGCUGAGACGCGAAAGCGUGGGGAGCAAACAGG